rnacentral:lncRNA from 1 species
GCCAAUAUUAAAAGAAACAAGAAAGAAGACAACAACGAACACCUGAGAUUUAUUUGUCUCUCUGCUCUCAGUUCAAACACCCAUAUGUAUGAAUGGGUUUUCGGAAAUAGAAGUCUAACUUUUGGUAGUUCAGAUCAGUUUGAUAUCAUUAUAACUUUUCAACUAUUAUAUCCAGAAAUUACUGAUGAUGGUGAAAUACUAUUUGAGUUUGGUUUGACGACGGCAACGAUUCUUUUACUUUCUGAUUGUCCAAAUAUUGUUAUCAGAGGUCAAAGAUGUGACGAGGAUCUAGGAAUAUGUCUAUAUGUACUAGAAAAUGAAUUUAUAAAACUGGAAAAUGGUAUUUUUGAACUAAGUUCAGAAUAUGUACGAGGACAGCUGACAUUGAAACUUCAUAAAUCUCAUUUUGUCGUGAUGUCUACCCAUAAAAUUAUCCAUAUAUCAAAGAUACUCAAUAUUUCUAAAGAUGUGAAACUGUGGCCAGUAUUUACAUUCUACAACGUACAUCUUAUUCAUAUAUCACACACAAUUGUGUCCGAAGAUGACAUAAGCUUCAAUAGAACAACAGUUGAUCCGCAUUAUUCUAUUUCUGAGGACAAUUACACUAUUUCAAACUGUAAAUUCCAACCCAACAAGAUGUGUCUUUCGUAUUCUGAUGUUGGCCUAAUUUGCAUUCAAAUUGCAUUUUACCUUUUUACUGUAGCUUUUAUCUGUUUUUUUAUUUUAAAUACUUAUGUAUUCAUUAAGUCAUUGUAAUAUCACUGGGGUAAAGCUGAUGACCGCAACUGCAUUCACGGUCAUCCCAAGAUGUCGGAUGAAAAAUUAGGUCAGUAUCUGUAUUGUCUGUUAUAGUGUUUCUAUAUCAUUUUCUUUGCAAAUCAUACAUUGAUACGAUGUAAAUUUAUAAAGAUUCACACGGAAAUCACAAAUUACUACCGAGAAAUGUGCAUGAAACAGGAAAUUCGAUUUGAAAAAAUUGCUCAAAUGACCGUAACCAAAUCAGCGAUUCAUAACAAGGAUGACCGUAAUUGGUUGAAAGAUGACCGUAAUUGGUUGAAAGAUGACCGUAAUUUGUAAAGGAUGACCAUAAUUUAUAAAUGAUGACCGUAACUUUUAAAGGAUGACAGUCAAUUUUAAGGAAUAUCCGUAUUUAUAACUAUUUUUUUAUAUCAAAUAAUUAAUCAUGUUGGUAUAUUUAUAUGAGAGAAUUAUCCUAUGGGUAGAAGAAAAUAAGACGUGCUUCAAAUACAUAGUUCACCAUAUGUAUCUUUUUUACGGUAGAGGGUAUAUCUAUACUAUUAAGCGAGAAGACCUCAUUUUGGGUGUCGCUUCUCUUCUUUCCACAAUAAAUUGAUCAACACGCC